rnacentral:lncRNA from 1 species
CCACCUCUUGUUUUGUUUCAAAAACGUUGCAAAGUUUCAUUGGAGGAGAGGGGAGGUGGCAGCCCCUUUUCUUCAUUUAAAUGGACAAGCAAGUGGAGAAAUACAAGGGGGGGGAGGUUUUUUUUUGGGCGAAAAAUUUUCGGCACCCUAAGUCCCAGUCCAAAAUAAAGAAAAAAUUAUUACAACAAGUUACAAGAACGAGCUAAACUAAGUACCACCGAUUCUACCGACAUUCACUUUGUCAUCAUUCGCAAGGGGCUACAACCUGAAACACGACAAAAAAAAGAAGCUUCGAUUCAAAGGUAAUCAUCCAAACAUUCCUAUUCAAAAGCAUUCAUGCAAUAUUCAUACAUACAUUUGGUGGCACUUAUACUCUCUUAAAAAUCAUCCUCGAAUAUUCAUUAUGACUAAUCAAGGAAACGUUUCAUGUCGAUAAGCGUCCUAGCAAACCCCUAAAUAAGAUUCAAAACUUAACAAGUUGCUGAAAUUUUAUCAAGGAUGACACUAAAUGAUAACAUUUCAAAAAAAAUGGGUAAUUUUUAAAAAAGUUCAGAUUUCUAAACUCAUCAUAACAACAAAAUAGUCCAGAUUUUAGUUCAAGCAACCUAAUCAAACAGAACUACUUUCAUCGACCAAGUAAAAUCAGAAUUAGUGAAGGGUUUAACCUUUACCUUUCUCGUCCUGUUCUCCGGCGAGUCCGUCUUUGACAAAAACUUUUUCGGCCUCUCCGACUCCGUCGAUCCCCAUCUCUAUUGAUAACAUAAACCAACAUCAAGACAACAUAAAUCAGGAAAAGACCAUAAAAACAAAAAACUCAGAUCGUGACUCCACAGAUCGGGGUUUGCAAACAACAUGCAAGCCCGAAUCGAAGUCAAAACGAAAAGAAUUAAUUAGAAGGAGGGGUUUUCAUGUUUUUACCUUUUCUUCCUCCUGUUUUUUCUUGCUUUGUUCGUUGUGGGAGGAGAGUGGAGGCGGAGACGGCGGCGCCCGUCGCCGCCAGCGAGACCAGAAAAGGAGGGUGAGGAGAGGCAGAAAA